rnacentral:rRNA from 1 species
GAUUGAACGCUGGCGGCAUGCCUUACACAUGCAAGUCGAACGGCAGCACGGAGCUUGCUCUGGUGGCGAGUGGCGAACGGGUGAGUAAAAUAUCGGAACGUACCCAGGAGUGGGGGAUAACGUAGCGAAAGUUACGCUAAUACCGCAUACGUCCUAAGGGAGAAAGUGGGGGAUCGCAAGACCUCAUGCUCAUGGAGCGGCCGAUAUCUGAUUAGCUAGUUGGUGGGGUAAAGGCCUACCAAGGCAACGAUCAGUAGCUGGUCUGAGAGGACGACCAGCCACACUGGAACUGAGACACGGUCCAGACUCCUACGGGAGGCAGCAGUGGGGAAUUUUGGACAAUGGGGGCAACCCUGAUCCAGCAAUGCCGCGUGAGUGAAGAAGGCCUUUCGGGUUGUAAAGCUCUUUUGUCAGGGAAGAAAAGGGAUUGGCUAAUAUCUGGUCCUCAUGACGGUACCUGAAGAAUAAGCACCGGCUAACUACGUGCCAGCAGCCGCGGUAAUACGUAGGGUGCAAGCGUUAAUCGGAAUUACUGGGCGUAAAGCGUGCGCAGGCGGUUUUGUAAGACUGUCGUGAAAUCCCCGGGCUCAACCUGGGAAUGGCGAUGGUGACUGCAAGGCUAUAGUUUGGCAGAGGGGGGUAGAAUUCCACGUGUAGCAGUGAAAUGCGUAGAUAUGUG